rnacentral:rRNA from 1 species
AUUGAACGCUGGCGGCAGGCCUAACACAUGCAAGUCGAACGAGUGGGGGACGGGUGAGUAAGGGCGGGGAGACUGCCCGAUGGAGGGGGAUAACUACGGGAAACGGUAGCUAAUAACGCAUAACAUGGGAUGGCACCAGAUGUGGUUAGCUAGUGGGUGGGGUAACGGCUAACCAGGGCGACGGUCCCUAGCUGGCAUGAGAGGAUGACCAGCACCACUGGAACUGAGCACCGGUCCAGAUUCCUACGGGAGGCAGCGUAGGGGAAUAUUGCACAAUGGGCGCAAGCCUGAUGCAGCCAUGCCGGGGGUAUGAAGAAGGCCUUCGGGUUGUAAACUACUUUCAUCGAGGAGGCGUUACUCGCAGAGGAAGCACCGGCUAACUCCGUGCCAGCAGCCGCGGUAAUUC